GCCGAGGUGGCGAAAUUGGUAGACGCAGGGGAUUCAAAAUCCCCCGGUGGCGACACCGUGCCGGUUCAAGUCCGGCCCUCGGUACCA
rnacentral:tRNA from 1 species